AUCAUGGCUCACGGAUGAACGCUAGCUACAGGCUUAACACAUGCAAGUCGAGGGGCAGCAUUUAGUUUGCUUGCAAACUAAAGAUGGCGACCGGCGCACGGUGAGUAACACGUAUCCAACCUGCCGAUAACUCGGGGAUAGCCUUUCGAAAGAAAGAUUAAUAUCCGAUAGCAUAUUGAGAUCGCAUGAUUUUGAUAUUAAAGAAUUUCGGUUAUCGAUGGGGAUGCGUUCCAUUAGUUUGUUGGCGGGUAACGGCCCACCAAGACUACGAUGGAUAGGGGUUCUGAGAGGAAGGUCCCCCACAUUGGAACUGAGACACGGUCCAAACUCCUACGGGAGGCAGCAGUGAGGAAUAUUGGUCAAUGGACGAGAGUCUGAACCAGCCAAGUAGCGUGAAGGAUGACUGCCCUAUGGGUUGUAAACUUCUUUUAUAUGGGAAUAAAGUAUUCCACGUGUGGGAUUUUGUAUGUACCAUAUGAAUAAGGAUCGGCUAACUCCGUG
rnacentral:rRNA from 1 species